CCCGCUGAACUUAAGCAUAUCAAAAACCGGGAGGGAA
rnacentral:rRNA from 1 species